rnacentral:lncRNA from 1 species
AAAAAAAAAAAAAAAAGGCCCAAUUAAAGACUUCUCAUUAGAUGCUCACACUUUGAGUGUGUGGCUAUUGGCUCACCAGGUGAAGCCUUCAAGUCUUCAGAUCAGGACACAGAACAGGGCUCUGUCCCCAGCAGUGGAAGGCAAACGUGCUCACUGGCCAGAGAGGUGACGGGCUUUAGAAGGGUGAAAGUCUCCGUAGCUUGGUGCAGGAGCCCUGGCAGCGAUCUCGUCUGCAGCUGUAGGAGGAGGCAGGUGGCAGGAGUUCCUCUGAAACACGACACGCGUGGGCACAGAACCACGUCCAAGCUCCAUGUGAUUAUUG